CACCUGUGAUGGUGUGAUCUUCAUUUAAAGUCCCAGAUCCAGUAAAGAGGGGCGACUUAUCCAGUUUCUCUACGCUGCUUCCAACGAGACACCCCUAAUGUAACGAGCCAGACAGGGCCAAAUGGCUUCCUAUUUUAAAUGACAGCACCAUGGACAGCAACAGAUGCAAUGAGCAAUACAAACCUAUUGGGGCAUCUGAAAGAUAAUUAUAACCGUGUAAUAUACAAAAACUACAAAGCUACUUGGUUGCUGUGAGCCAUCAGGUCAUAUUUAUAAUAAUGUAGAAGUACCCCAACUUUUCAGUUUAAUUUCAACUUACUGUGAGUGUGCAUUUUUUGACAUCUUCAACCCUUUAUAUGGAUAUGAUGGCUCUCUUUCUAAAUAGACUAAAAUGGACCUGAUGAACUAAAAAAAUCAAGUCACCAUUAUUGUUUAAUUAAUUUCAGAGAUUAGUAAUUUUUCAAUAAUAACCUUACAGACAGUUAUAUGAUGUGUGAUUGUGACUGUCACGCGGUAACAGGACAUAAGCAUAUACAACAUUUAAAUUAAAUUGGAUGAUUGUGACUGCACAGUAAAGUA